GAACGCACCUUGCGCCCUUUGGACUUCUGAAGGGCAUGCCUGUUUGAGUAUCAUGAACACCUCAACUCCUUAUGGUCUUCCAUGAUGAGCUUGGACUUUGGGGGUUUUGCUGGCCUACAGUCAGCUCCUCUAAAAUAAAUCAGCUUACCGGUGUUUGGUGGGUAUCGUGGGUGUGAUAACUAUCUACGCUCGUGGUUUUCCACCAGGUAACCUUCAGCAGUGGAGGUUCACUGGAGCUCAUAGAUGUCUCUCCUCAGCGAGGACAGCCCUUUGAAUGUUUGAUCUCAAAUCAGGUAGGACUACCCGCUGAACUUAAG
rnacentral:misc_RNA from 1 species